rnacentral:rRNA from 1 species
CCUACGGGGGGCUGCAGUGGGGAAUAUUGGACAAUGGGGGCAACCCUGAUCCAGCCAUGCCGCGUGUGUGAAGAAGGCCCUCGGGUUGUAAAGCACUUUCAGUGAGGAAGAACGCCUGGUGGUUAAUACCCAUCAGGAAAGACAUCACUCACAGAAGAAGCACCGGCUAACUCCGUGCCAGCAGCCGCGGUAAUACGGAGGGUGCGAGCGUUAAUCGGAAUUACUGGGCGUAAAGCGCGCGUAGGUGGCUUGAUAAGCCGGUUGUGAAAGCCCCGGGCUCAACCUGGGAACGGCAUCCGGAACUGGCAAGCUAGAGUGCAGGAGAGGAAGGUAGAAUUCCCGGUGGAGCGGUGAAAUGCGUAGAGAUCGGGAGGAAUACCAGUGGCGAAGGCGGCCUUCUGGACUGACACUGACACUGAGGUGCGAAAGCGUGGGUAGCAAACAGGAUUAGAUACCCGUGUAGUC